AUUAAGUAAAGUGAUUAAGUAAGUAGUCUUUUCUUCCAUCCUGCACUCAAAAAAAUGGUUUUCCGGCACUGUUCGUUUUACACAUAUAUGUUUUGUUAAAACAACACAAAUAUAUUUAGUUUUCCGACAAAACACAAUUGUAUUGUGUUUAAUCAACUUAAAAUGUUUAAUUUUAAAUUUUACUUAAUUAUCAAUCGUUAAAGUAACGUAAAGGGUUUAAUUUCGUGAUUCAAAAAAAACCGGAAGUGACGAUUUCCAACGCAUUUGAUGACGGUGUGGAGGGGAGCAAGAGGUAUCAGUCAGGUAAGAAAAUCUAAAGUUUUUAUUGUGUUAAGUCAAAGUCUUUAAUUUCUCUUAGAGUUUCUGUUUUGAGGUGCUUUUGUUUUGCAGUCUAGUAUUGUGUAAUCGGUUUAUUGCACCGUUAAUAGAUGAUUUUGAAGCGUUGGGAGAUGUGAAAGCGCACAACUCUCUGUAAUGUAUUUACUUUAGUAUAUAUAUAUAUAUAUACACUAGGGCUGAAACAAUUACUCGACAUUAUCGACAACGUCGACGAUAAAAAUAAAAUUUUCAGCAAAUGUUUUUGAGUAACGUUAGUGGUUUGAUCUCGUAUCUGCCCUGAUUUGAAAGCCUGCAUUAAUGCAGUUUGACCAGUGUGGCGCUGUAGCGCAAGAUUGUAAUACACUCUCCUGAUUCAAUUAAAAAGAAGAAGAUAGCACUUCAGUUUGAGGCAAACCGACCCGAUCCGAACCUUGGAUGAAUAUGUUUGUGCAGAAUUUGAGACAUCCAGAAUUACCAUAGGCCCAUUAGAAUCAACAAUCUUUGCCAAACUUGAUUCGGACUGCCAAAAUUUACGAAGAUGUUUUCAUACUGAAGAAGAGACCUUGGACAAAUACUGAAACCCUCUUGGUGCCCACUACACAGGUAAGAACAACUGCACUCAACACAACCUUGUAUUAAAACAUUAUUCUCUCACUGGUUACUGGAAAUUGACAAAAAAAGACAGAUAAGAUAAGGUUUAUUAAUACAAUAAAUACAAAAUAUGUGGUAUAUCUAUAAACUGAUAGAUUUAUUUUGAUGCAAGGCAGGGGUGUCCAGACCUGCUCUAGGAAAGCCAGUGUUCUGUGGGGUUCAGCUCUAACACACCUGCCUGGAACUUCAGGGUAAGACUUUUUUGUUUAAAAUUUCCCAAGAACCUUGAUUAG
rnacentral:lncRNA from 1 species